rnacentral:rRNA from 1 species
UACGGAGGGUCCAAGCGUUAUCCGGAAUCAUUGGGUUUAAAGGGUCCGUAGGCGGUUUUGUAAGUCAGUGGUGAAAGCCCAUCGCUCAACGGUGGAACGGCCAUUGAUACUGCAAGACUUGAAUUAUUGGGAAGUAACUAGAAUAUGUAGUGUAGCGGUGAAAUGCUUAGAGAUUACAUGGAAUACCAAUUGCGAAGGCAGGUUACUACCAAUAUAUUGACGCUGAUGGACGAAAGCGUGGGUAGCGAACAGG